rnacentral:rRNA from 1 species
UACGGAAGGCAGCAGUGGGGAAUAUUGCACAAUGGGCGCAAGCCUGAUGCAGCCAUGCCGCGUGUAUGAAGAAGGCCUUCGGGUUGUAAAGUACUUUCAGUCGUGAGGAAGGUGUUAAGGUUAAUAACCUUAGCAAUUGACGUUAACGACAGAAGAAGCACCGGCUAACUCCGUGCCAGCAGCCGCGGUAAUACGGAGGGUGCGAGCGUUAAUCGGAAUUACUGGGCGUAAAGGGCACGCAGGCGGUUAAUUAAGUUGGAUGUGAAAUCCCCGGGCUUAACCUGGGAAUGGCAUUCAAGACUGGUUAGCUAGAGUCUUGUAGAGGGGGUAGAAUUCCAUGUGUAGCGGUGAAAUGCGUAGAGAUGUGGAGGAAUACCGGUGGCGAAGGCGGCCCCUGGGACAAAGACUGACGCUCAUGUGCGAAAGCGUGGGGAGCAAACAGGGAUUAGAUACC